UGUGGGAGCUGGCUUGCCAGCGAUGAGGUCGGCCCAUCCAGUAUCAAUGUGACUGACACACCGCCAUCGCUGGCAAGCCAGCUCCCACA
rnacentral:misc_RNA from 1 species